UACGGAGGGGGCUAGCGUUGUCCGAAGUUACUGGGCGUAAAGCGCGCGUAGGCGGGUUGGUAAGUCCGCUGUGAAAGCCCGGAGCUCAACUCCGGAGGGUCGGUGGAUACUGCCAGUCUUGAAGGUGCUAGGGGGAGAUGGAAUUACCGGUGUAGCGGUGAAAUGCGUAGAUAUCAGGAGGAACACCGAUGGCGAAGGCAGGUCUCUGGGCUGACACUGACGCUCAUGCACGAAAGCGUGGGGAGCAAACAGA
rnacentral:rRNA from 1 species